UAGGGAAUCUUCCACAAUGGGCGGCAAGCCUGAUGGAGCAACACCGCGUGAGUGAAGAAGGGUUUCGGCUCGUAAAGCUCUGUUGUUAAAGAAGAACACGUAUGAGAGUAACUGUUCAUACGUUGACGGUAUUUAACCAGAAAGUCACGGCUAACUACGUGCCAC
rnacentral:rRNA from 1 species